CCUGGCUCAGGACGAACGCUGGCGGCGUGCUUAACACAUGCAAGUCGAACGAUGAAGCCCAGCUUGCUGGGUGGAAGAGUGGCGAACGGGUGAGUAACACGUGAGUAACCUGCCCUGAACUCUGGGAUAAGCACUGGAAACGGUGUCUAAUACUGGAUACGACCUAUCACCGCAUGGUGUGUGGGUGGAAAGAUUUAUCGGUUUUGGAUGGACUCGCGGCCUAUCAGCUAGAUGGUGAGGUAAUGGCUCACCAUGGCGACGACGGGUAGCCGGCCUGAGAGGGUGACCGGCCACACUGGGACUGAGACACGGCCCAGACUCCUACGGGAGGCAGCAGUGGGGAAUAUUGCACAAUGGGCGCAAGCCUGAUGCAGCAACGCCGCGUGAGGGAUGACGGCCUUCGGGUUGUAAACCUCUUUUAGUAGGGAAGAAGCGAAAGUGACGGUACCUGCAGAAAAAGCACCGCUAA
rnacentral:rRNA from 1 species